rnacentral:miRNA from 1 species
CGGCACAAUGUUUAUGAGUAGAU